CAGCCGUAAACGAUGCGCGUUAGGUGUAUCGGUGACCACGAGUCACCGAGGUGCCGAAGGGAAACCGUGAAACGUGCCGCCUGGGAAGUACGGUCGCAAGGCUGAAGCUUAAAGGAAUUGGCGGGGGAGCACCACAACGGGUGGAGCCUGCGGUUUAAUUGGACUCAACGCCGGGAAGCUCACCGGAUAAGACAGCGGAAUGAUUGCCGGGCUGAAGACUCUGCAUGACUAGCUGAGAGGAGGUGCAUGGCGUAGACGUCU
rnacentral:rRNA from 1 species